CAAAAGAGUGGGAAGAGCUUUGAGUAGAGGUGAUAAACCUACCGAGCCCAGUGAUAGCUGGUUGCCUGAGAAAUGAAUAGGAGUUCAGCCCUUAGUAUUUCCCCCCCCCGCCCGUCUUAUAAAUCUAAAGGAAGACUAAAGGAAAACUAAGGAGUUAGUCAAAAGGGGGACAGCCCUUUUGAUCUAAGAAACAACUUUUACAGGUGAAACAAGAUCACAAUAAUUAAGGAUUAAGUCCUAAGUGGGCUUAAAAGCAGCCAUCUUAAAAGAAAGCGUUAAAGCUCUAAACUAACCUUACCCCUUUUAUACUGAUACUCAAUCUUCUCCCCUGCCCCCUACCAGGCUGUCUUAUGCCCCCAUAAGAACAAUAAUGCUAAAAUGAGUAAUAAGAAGAAACCCUCUUCUCCCGGCAUACGUGCAAAUCGGAUCGGACCUCCCACCGAUUACUACCCGACCCCAAACCCAGAGGGACAUAAGUUAAAAAAACAAGAAAACGACUUAAUAAAAAUCGUUAACCCUACACAGGAAUGCACCAAGGAAAGACUAAAAGAGAGGGAAGGAACUCGGCAAACCCAAGCCUCGCCUGUUUACCAAAAACAUCGCCUCUUGACUCACACACAUAAGAGGUCUCGCCUGCCCACUGACUAUAUGUUAAAUGGCCGUGGUAUUCUAACCACGCAAAGGUAGCGUAAUCAUUUGUCUUUUAAAUGAAGACCUGUAUGAAUGGCAAAACGAGGGCUUAACUGUCUCCCCCCUCCAGUCAAUGAAAUUGACCUCCCCGUGCAGAGGCGGGGAUACAACUAUAAGACGAGAAGACCCUGUGGAGCUUUAGACCUAAAAUAAACUCACCCAACAAAAACAAGCACAAUUCAAAACAGGUGAAAAUUAUUGAAGUGUCUUUGGUUGGGGUGACCCUGGGGUAGCACACAACCCCCAUGAAGAUAGAGGGCACCCCCCUCAACACUUAGAGCCGCCCCUCCAAGUAACAAAACCUUUGACUUUAAAAAUGACCCGGCGCAGCCGAAUAACGAACCAAGUUACCCCAGGGAUAACAGCGCAAUCCCCUCCAAGAGCUCCUAUCGACAAGGGGGUUU
rnacentral:rRNA from 1 species